rnacentral:tRNA from 1 species
UCUGGGGUAGCAAAUUGGCAAUGCGCCUGGCUGUUAACCAGGAGAUGUGCAGAUGCGAGUCCUGCCCCCAGGA